rnacentral:snRNA from 1 species
AUCACUUCUCGGCCUUUUGGCUAAGAUCAAAUGUAGUAUCAAUGAUGCACAUUUUUUUUUAACAAUCUUC